rnacentral:rRNA from 1 species
GACGAACGCUGGCGGCGUGCCUAAUACAUGCAAGUAGAACGCUGAAGGAGGAGCUUGCUUCUCUGGAUGAGUUGCGAACGGGUGAGUAACGCGUAGGUAACCUGCCUGGUAGCGGGGGAUAACUAUUGGAAACGAUAGCUAAUACCGCAUAAUAGUAGAUGUUGCAUGACAUUUGCUUAAAAGGUGCAAUUGCAUCACUACCAGACGGACCUGCGUUGUAUUAGCUAGUUGGUGGGGUAACGGCUCACCAAGGCGACGAUACAUAGCCGACCUGAGAGGGUGAUCGGCCACACUGGGACUGAGACACGGCCCAGGCUCCUACGGGAGGCAGCAGUAGGGAAUCUUCGGCGAUGGACGGAAGUCUGACCGAGCAACGCCGCGUGAGUGAAGAAGGUUUUCGGAUCGUAAAGCUCUGUUGUAAGAGAAGAACGAGUGGAGAGGGAAAGUUCACACUG